UUUUAUUUUUAUUUUAUUUUUUUUUAAAGUCCUGCUUCCAUACCCUCCAUGAUGGACUAGACCCCUGGAACUACUCUCAAUGGCAUUGAUCAGUGAAGUUGAGUUUCUCCAAUCUAAGAUGAAAGCAGAGCACUUGAAAUCAAUUCUGAAAGCAUCCCUUUGAAGCUUCUAAAAUAUGCAAGCAACUUCAUGAGCUCCUGAACACUUGCUGACAGUACAGGACCAGCUGCUAAAGCUCCCUGAAACCUUGAUGUUCCGCUAUGAUGGGAUUAAUCACAAAACUGUGAGCUACAAUAAACCCUUUCUCCCUUAGUUGCUUC